rnacentral:rRNA from 1 species
GACAGAGGGGGCAAGCGUUGCUCGGAAUCACUGGGCGUAAAGGGCGCGUAGGCGGGAUGGCAAGUCAGUCGUGAAAUCUCUCGGCUCAACCGAGAAACGUCGGCUGAUACUGCCGUUCUUGAGGGAUGCAGAGGAGACUGGAAUUCCCGGUGUAGAGGUGAAAUUCGUAGAUAUCGGGAGGAACACCAGUGGCGAAGGCGGCGACCUGGACGGACACUGACGCUGAGACGCGAAAGCGUGGGGAGCAAACAGG